UACCUGCAGCCCAAGUGGUGGCCGCUAUUAUUGGGCCUAAAACGUCCGUAGCCGGUUCUAUAAAUGCCUGGGUAAAUCGUACGGCUUAACCGUACGAAUUCCGGGUAGACUGUUCAACUUGGGACCGGGAGAGGCUAGAGGUACUCCUGGGGUAGAGGUGAAAUUCUGUAAUCCUAGGGGGACCACCAGUGGCGAAGGCGUCUAGCUAGAACGGGUCUGACGGUGAGGGACGAAGCCCUGGGGAGCAAACGGG
rnacentral:rRNA from 1 species